rnacentral:rRNA from 1 species
AUUGAACGCUGGCGGCAUGCCUUACACAUGCAAGUCGAACGGUAACAGGUCUUCGGAUGCUGACGAGUGGCGAACGGGUGAGUAAUGCAUCGGAACGUGCCCAGUUGUGGGGGAUAACUGCUCGAAAGAGCAGCUAAUACCGCAUACGACCUGAGGGUGAAAGCGGGGGAUCGCAAGACCUCGCGCAAUUGGAGCGGCCGAUGUCAGAUUAGGUAGUUGGUGGGGUAAAGGCCUACCAAGCCGACGAUCUGUAGUUGGUCUGAGAGGACGACCAGCCACACUGGGACUGAGACACGGCCCAGACUCCUACGGGAGGCAGCAGUGGGGAAUUUUGGACAAUGGGCGCAAGCCUGAUCCAGCAAUGCCGCGUGCAGGAAGAAGGCCUUCGGGUUGUAAACUGCUUUUGUCAGGGAAGAAAUCUUCUGGGUUAAUACCCCGGGAGGAUGACGGUACCUGAAGAAUAAGCACCGGCUAACUACGUGCCAGCCGCCGCCGUAAUAC